rnacentral:rRNA from 1 species
UAUUUAUUAGAUAAAAAACCAAUGCCCUUCGGGGUUCCUUGGUGAUUCAUAAUAACUUAACGAAUCGCAUGGCCUUGCGCCGGCGAUGGUUCAUUCAAAUUUCUGCCCUAUCAACUUUCGAUGGUAAGAUAGUGGCUUACCAUGGUCUCAACGGGUAACGGGGAAUUAGGGUUCUAUUCCGGAGAGGGAGCCUGAGAAACGGCUACCACAUCCAAGGAAGGCAGCAGGCGCGCAAAUUACCCAAUCCCAAUUCGGGGAGGUAGUGACAAUAAAUACUGAUACGGGGCUCUUUCGGGUCUCGUAAUUGGAAUGAGUACAAUCUAAAUCCCUUAACGAGGAACAAUUGGAGGGCAAGUCUGGUGCCAGCAGCCGCGGUAAUUCCAGCUCCAAUAGCGUAUAUUAAAGUUGUUGCCGUUAAAAAGCUCGUAGUUGAACCUUGGACCUGGCUGAUCUGUCCUCCUAAUCGAGCGCACGGAUUCGGUCGGGUCUUUCCUUCUGGGGAGCCCUAUGCCCUUCACUGGGUGUAGUGGGGAACCAGGACUUUUUACCUUGAAAAAAAUUAGAGUGUUCAAAGCA